UACGGAGGGUGCAAGCGUUAAUCGGAAUUACUGGGCGUAAAGCGCACGUAGGUGGUUUGCUAAGUCAGCUGUGAAAUCCCCGGACUCAACCUGGGCACUGCAGUUGAAACUGGCAAGCUAGAGUAGGGUAGAGGGGUGUGGGAAUUCCAGGUUGUAGCGGUGAAAAUGCGUAGAUAUCUGGAGGAACAUCAGUGGCGAAGGCGACACCCUGGACUCAUACUGACACUGAGGUGCGAAAGGCGUGGGGAGCAAACAGG
rnacentral:rRNA from 1 species